rnacentral:rRNA from 1 species
GAUGAACGCUGGCGGCGUGCCUAAUACAUGCAAGUCGAGCGAACAGACGAGGAGCUUGCUCCUUUGACGUUAGCGGCGGACGGGUGAGUAACACGUGGAUAACCUACCUAUAAGACUGGGAUAACUUCGGGAAACCGGAGCUAAUACCGGAUAACAUGUUGAACCGCAUGGUUCAACAGUGAAAGACGGUCUUGCUGUCACUUAUAGAUGGAUCCGCGCCGCAUUAGCUAGUUGGUAAGGUAACGGCUUACCAAGGCAACGAUGCGUAGCCGACCUGAGAGGGUGAUCGGCCACACUGGAACUGAGACACGGUCCAGACUCCUACGGGAGGCAGCGGUAGGGAAUCUUCCGCAAUGGGCGAAAGCCUGACGGAGCAACGCCGCGUGAGUGAAGAAGGUCUUCGGAUCGUAAAACUCUGUUAUUAGGAAGAACAAAUGUGUAAGUAACUAUGCACGUCUUGACGGUACCUAAUCAGAAAGCCACGGCUAACUACGUG